AUGGUUGUGGCUCAGUGGUAGAGUGCUUGCCUAGCAUGCAAGAGGCACUGGGUUCCAUCUCUGGCAUCACAUA
rnacentral:tRNA from 1 species